rnacentral:tRNA from 1 species
UAAGAUAUUUGAAUAAGAAACGAAUUGUAGCUUCGUGCAUAAAGGUUUAAUUCCUUUUCUUAG